rnacentral:rRNA from 1 species
UACGUAGGCAGCGAGCGUUGUUCGGAGUUACUGGGCGUAAAGAGUGCGUAGGCGGUUUUCUAAGUUUGGUGUGAAAUCUCCCGGCUUAACUGGGAGGGUGCGCCGAAGACUGGAGGGCUUGAGUAUGGGAGAGGUAAGCGGAAUUCCUGGUGUAGCGGUGAAAUGCGUAGAUAUCAGGAGGAACACCUGCGGUGUAGACGGCUUACUGGACCAUCACUGACGCUGAGGCACGAAAGCGUGGGUAGCAAACAGG